rnacentral:rRNA from 1 species
GAUGAACGCUGGCGGCGUGCCUAAUACAUGCAAGUCGAGCGAACGGACGAGAAGCUUGCUUCUCUGAUGUUAGCGGCGGACGGGUGAGUAACACGUGGAUAACCUACCUAUAAGACUGGGAUAACUUCGGGAAACCGGAGCUAAUACCGGAUAAUAUUUUGAACCGCAUGGUUCAAAAGUGAAAGACGGUCUUGCUGUCACUUAUAGAUGGAUCCGCGCUGCAUUAGCUAGUUGGUAAGGUAACGGCUUACCAAGGCAACGAUGCAUAGCCGACCUGAGAGGGUGAUCGGCCACACUGGAACUGAGACACGGUCCAGACUCCUACGGGAGGCAGCAGUAGGGAAUCUUCCGCAAUGGGCGAAAGCCUGACGGAGCAACGCCGCGUGAGUGAAGAAGGUCUUCGGAUCGUAAAACUCUGUUAUUAGGGAAGAACAAAUGUGUAAGUAACUAUGCACAUCUUGACGGUACCUAAUCAGAAAGCCACGGCUAACUACGUG